rnacentral:rRNA from 1 species
GAUGAACGCUGGCGGCGUGCCUAAUACAUGCAAGUCGAGCGAACAGACGAGGAGCUUGCUCCUCUGACGUUAGCGGCGGACGGGUGAGUAACACGUGGAUAACCUACCUAUAAGACUGGGAUAACUUCGGGAAACCGGAGCUAAUACCGGAUAAUAUAUUGAACCGCAUGGUUCAAUAGUGAAAGACGGUUUUGCUGUCACUUAUAGAUGGAUCCGCACCGCAUUAGCUAGUUGGUAAGGUAACGGCUUACCAAGGCAACGAUGCGUAGCCGACCUGAGAGGGUGAUCGGCCACACUGGGACUGAGACACGGUCCAGACUCCUACGGGAGGCAGCAGUAGGGAAUCUUCCGCAAUGGGCGAAAGCCUGACGGAGCAACGCCGCGUGAGUGAUGAAGGUCUUCGGAUCGUAAAACUCUGUUAUUAGGGAAGAACAAAUGUGUAAGUAACUAUGCACGUCUUGACGGUACCUAAUCAAAAAGCCACGGCUAACUACGUG